GUAAAAGUCACCCAAGAACUUUAAUACAAAAAAAAAAGCGUAAUUGCGAUGAAAUUGUUACUGUUUCUUACUGUGGGGAAUAUUGCAGUGUGUCUGUCAUUGUCAUUUGAAUGUUUUAUUUCUUAUUUGCGGUGUUUUCAAAAUGGUUAUCCACUUCUUUAGUCUUCCAGGUGCUCUCUCGGACACUACUCUUGUAGAUGGGUUUUUCGGUGUGUCAAAGGGAACCAAACAGGCCAGAAUGGAGACUUUGACACUUCUGUUAAGCCAUACAAAUUGCAGUGCUUGUUAAUGAAACCGGUUCUGUGCUCAUUUGGAUUGUGUAUAUUUCCAUUGAUUUGAAAUGUCAAUUUCUUUGAAUAUGUGUUUUUCUUUCUUUAUAAAAUAAUUGUAUCGUGGCUUUGAACGAGCAUCGAUAGUGAAAACCUUUUUUUGGUAACAGUUGAACGGUUUUUUGUUUUGAUUGUUUUUAACCCAGCUAAUGAAUGUAUUAGUUUCGUGGACAUCUCGUCGAACGAUGUUCUUCAAGAAAAUCUGUUACUUCUAACUACUGUCCGUCCCGUUUUCUCCAACGGGACCACACGUUUGACUGGGAGCGACGGCCUAUGCGCCACAACAGACAAAAGCGGGAUGCUCCUCGAUGUCAAAAGGAUGUUCCGCUCGGUUCAAUUCAGGGGAAGCUGGAGCUCACCCCUCCGUGCCCGAGCUCUAUGGACACUGUAUGGACUGGACCUGAAUUAACGCGUUUGAUCGGCCAGCGCUCUUUCCUCACAAUCUGAGACUUCUUAUUAAGAAGGCCGGGAACAUAAUCAGAAACCUGACUCAGACUGAUAACGUCUGCCUGCCAGGACGUUGUGGCCAAAAUGUGCCUGUCGUUCAAGGUGGCCUAUUCCGCAGACAUGUUUGUUUUCCUUUUUUCUUAUCGUACCAAGAGAGGCAUUUACAAGGGACUGCUGCCCAACCAAAGCAAAUCCUCUUUACAGUGUGGGUGUACUUUUUUUUUUUGUUACUAAACUAAGGUCCUAAUUUAUAGCAAAGUAGCGGGGUGAUUAAGAUUAUGCUAUUACCAACAUUAAGGAUUAAAGAAUGGAGAAAUAAAUGGGUUGCUUUAUACAUGCAAACUUUCAUUGUCCCUUAGGAAAUGGCAGCCUGUAAGCUAUGCAAUUGUAAUACAUUCAAGCAAUGAGCUUUUAUGUGAUUAAUAAACUUCCUUCCCAUAAUUAACAUGUUAUUGUAUUGUAUUUAUAUUCAGCAAUAAACAUUGACUCAAGAACCUG
ensembl:lncRNA